UAGGGCAUGAACCUGGCAUACAAUGUAGGUUUCUGUGUUUGUUAGGCAACAGCUACAUUGUCUGCUGGGUUUCAGGCUACCUGG
rnacentral:pre_miRNA from 1 species